rnacentral:rRNA from 1 species
GGUAGCUAUGUGCGGACGGGAUAAGUGCUGAAAGCAUCUAAGCAUGAAGCCCCCUCAAGAUGAGAUUUCCCAUUCCGCAAGGAAGUAAGAUCCCUGAAAGAUGAUCAGGUUGAUAGGUCUGAGGUGGAAGUGUGGCGACACAUGGAGCUGACAGAUACUAAUCGAUCGAGGACUUAACCAAUUU